rnacentral:rRNA from 1 species
UACGGAGGAUGCGAGCGUUAUCCGGAUUUAUUGGGUUUAAAGGGUGCGCAGGCGGCACGGCAAGCCGGCGGUCAAAUCGCGGGGCUCAACCCCGCCCAGCCGUCGGAACUGCCGGGCUAGAGUGGGCGAGAAGUGCGCGGAAUGCGUGGUGUAGCGGUGAAAUGCAUAGAUAUCACGCAGAACUCCGAUUGCGAAGGCAGCGCACCGGCGCCCUACUGACGCUCAGGCACAAAAGCGUGGGUAUCGAACAGG